GCCGAUGUAGCUCAGUGGUAGAGCAUUCGAUUCGUAAUCGGACGGUCGGCGGUUCAAAUCCGCUCAUCGGCU
rnacentral:tRNA from 12 species